CACACUUCCCAACCUUUGCCUAAGAUCAAGUGCAUCGUCUGUUCUUACUGAUUAACAUCUGAUACAUCCUCAGCUUGAAGAUUUUAUGUUAAAUGGAUUUGGUGUGCUGGGGGAAGGAGUAACAGCUUUCUCCAUCCACUCCAUGCAUCAACCUGAUAUUACAGUGCUUACAGGAACCAUGGCCACAUG
ensembl:snRNA U2 U2 spliceosomal RNA